CCGACUGCUAUUUGGGUGAGGAUAAACCAUGCGAGUCGAAUGGGAUACCUAAAGUUCCCAUGGCAAACUGCUCAGUAACACAUGAUCAACUUACCCUAUGGAGAAAAAUAAUCUCGGGAAACUGAGAAUAAUGUUUCAUAGUUGAAUUGGCUUGGAAAAGUUUUUCAAUUAAAGGGAUAAGAUAAAUGGUUCUUAUCUGCCAUAGGAUAGGAUCGUGGUCGAUUAUGGUUGUUGGUGAGGUAACGGCUCACCAAGCCGACAAUCGAUAGGGGCCGUGAGAGCGGGAGCCCCGAGAUGGGUACUUAGACAGCGACCCAGGCCUUACGAGGCGCAGCAGGUGCGAAACCUCCGCAAUACACGAAAGUGUGACGGGGUUACCCAAAGUGUUCUUAAAUGAACUGUGGUAGGUGAGUAAUGUCCCCUACUAGAAAGGAGAGGGCAGGCUGACUAGAAUGAGGCUUAUAUGAAUUCCCCAUUCUAGGCCUAUGUGCCAGCCGCCGCGGUAAAACCAGCUCUUCAAGUGGUCGGGAUAAUUAUUGGGCUUAAAGUGUCCGUAGCCGGUUUAGUAAGUUCCUGGUAAAAUCGGGUAGCUUAACUAUCCGUGUGCUAGGAAUACUGCUAUACUAGAGGGCGGGAAAGGUCUGAGGUACUACAGGGGUAGGGGUGAAAUCUUAUAAUCCUUGUAGGACCACCAGUGGCGAAGGCGUCAGACUGGAACGCGCCUGACGGUGAGGGACGAAAGCCAGGGGAGCGAACCGGAUUAGAUACGUUAGUGCUAUUGCACAACGCUAAA
rnacentral:rRNA from 1 species